GAAGAAUUUUAGUGACCUACGGGCAAUGGAUGGCGGGCUAGUUCUUGCUGGUGACUGCAGGUCAGAUUCUCCUGGGCACUGCGCGAAGUAUGGAUCCUACUCUCUGAUCGAGGACAGAGUGAACAAGGUGGUGGAUGUUCAGCUUGUUCAGAGCUCAGAGGUCCCCAACAGCUCAUGGUGUGAGCUUGAAGGGCUCAAGCGCAGUGUUGGCCUGCUGAGGGAAAGGACCUGCAUUUAGCAACGCUGAUCACGGACCGUCAUCGCCAGGUUGCCAAAUGGGUGAGAGAGGAGCUGAGCCCUGAAGGGACACAGCGUUAUUUUGAUGUGUGGCACAUUGCCAAAAGUCUGGGGAAGGCAUUGGAUGCAGCUUCAAAAGAGUGUGACCAACUACAGCUGUGGAGGCCUGCUAUAGUGAAUCACCUCUAUUGGACUGCAGCCUCAACCCCAGACGGCAACCCAGCAGUCAUGGAGGCUAAAUGGAAAAGUUUAGUCAACCACAUCCAGGACAUCCAUGACCAUGACACCCCUGCUUUCUCCAGUUGUGCCCAUGGCCCUCUAGACGGGGAUCAGCGCAACAAAGAGUGGCUGGACCCAGGCUCAUUGGCAGCAGUAAAGUUGGAGAACAUAAUCACGAGAAC